rnacentral:lncRNA from 1 species
UUAAAAUGCUAAUUGAAAUGAUUUGAAUUUGUAGGGAAUAAUUUUGGGCAGCUAGAUAGUUCAGUGGAUAAAACUUCUUGCCUAGAGUCAGAAAGACCUGAAUUCAUAUAUGGCCUCAGAUACUUAUUAGCUGUGUGAAUAUGGGCAAGUAACUUAACUUCUGUUUUCCUUGAUCAAUUGGAGAAGGAAAUGACAAAUCUUUCCAGUAUUCUUAAUGAGAAAACCCCAUAGAUAAUAGGUUAUACAGGGUCACAAAGAGUCAGACUCAACUGAACAGCCAAAGCUUUAAAAGUUUAAAAUUGACUGAUGAGAUGAUGAGAAACUAAUGAUGAUUGAUGAGAAAUAUCUAAUUUGCCUAUAAUCCAAACUGUAUUACUAAAAUUAUGGCUUCCCCUCAUGCCUGUUCUCUACUAGUGUCCUUGAUGCUGUCAUGGAAGCCAUUAUGAACAAAAUAUAGCUUUUGGAAAAUCUUUAGAUUCCAAAGCAGGGAAGACAAAGGGAAGGAUCUGUGAAAAUAGAAACAAUUCAGGAAAUUUGACCUUGAGGGUAAAUUUAAUGGGAGACUGCUUAUAUCAGUUUCCUACUAGUCAUUAACAGGAUAUUGUUAGUCUUAAUUAAGACUCCCAUUAGUUUAACUAGAAUUCCUACUAGAGAGGCUUGUUGUUGAGUCAUUUCUAUCAGGUCCAACUCCUCAUGACACCAUUUAGGAUUUUCUAUUCCACAUACUGGAGCAACUUCCCAUUUCCUUCUCCAGCUUAUUUCACAACUGAGGGAGCUGAGACAAACAGGGUUAAAUACUUGCUCAGUUAAUAAAUAUCCAAAGUCAGAUUUGAAUAAAGGUCUUCCUGAGUUCAGAUCCAAUACUCUUUCCAUGGUAGAUGUGGAAAACUAUUACCCCAAAUACCUCUGACAGAAUCCUCAAUUUUUUUUUAAAUUCUAAAUUUAAAUACCAAAAAGGGUACAUUUCUAUAUAUGUAGAAGAAGACAAAAGUAGAACUGAAUAUGAAACUGUGAGUGUCCAUUUCAUAUUGCUUACUUUUUAAAAAACUAUAUAAUAAACUAUGUUUCUUCCAAAAAUGUUCUGCUGAUCUCUGCUUCCUUCCAAACUUCCUUCUAUUCUUUUCUGUGCAGUUUAAAAAAUGUUUCAACAUCUUCUGAGAUCUACUCUUCUUGAGGUAAAUUAAUAACAAAAAAUAGCCAAAUCUGAACAUAAUGGGAUUUCCUAAUUUUUGUGGUGUUUCUGUAUGUAUCUAUGUUUUUCUAAGAAGCGAUACAAUAGAAAUUAGAAUGUUUUAUGAGAAGAAUGUGGGAUGGGGUGUGUAAGUGAGAAUGUGAGACUUGAGAGUGUGUGUGUAUGUGUAAGGCUACUCAAUUCUGUGUGUGAUGAAAACAUCUUUUCUGUUGACCUUUUAAAUGUGAA